rnacentral:lncRNA from 1 species
AAAUAAUUAAAAUCAGAGCCAUAAUUCAAAUUUAUAAAUUGCAGCCAAAAUUCAUCAUAUUAUCAAUGAACACAUACACAAGAUUCGUGGUCAGUUUAGGGCCAGAAUUCAAAAAAUAAGCUAUUGCUAAUUUGCUACAACCAGCACUGCCGGUAAGGUGAAGUUUCUGCCACUACAAAAGAACUGUAACAUGUUAUCUGUACACACACUGUAGAAGAUGGUCUUCAAGUGUCAAGCCCUGCCCAAGAGAUUGGCUUCCCGAGAGGUGUGACAAAUUGAGUGAGGAAGUUAUAGAUGCCAUGAAAAGAAAUCGAACAUCCCUGCAGCACCGGUGCUAGGCUCCGGAGUCAAAGCUUGGAAGAAGCAUCACAGUUACAUUAUGGUCCUGAAAUUAGUGAUGACAAAUAGUUUAGCACUUAGUUGUGAGUAAAGGUAUUUAGCAACUGCAAUUAGAGGCAAAACACAUGGAAGUUUCAGAUUGAUUAGUUUAACUUUGUACUACUACCACUUGGCACCAUUAUAACAGGAAAACAUGUGUGACAGACAUACUGAAAGUAUUCCUUGUGUACUACUACUACUUGGCACCAUCAUAACAGGAAAACAUGUGUGACAGAUAUACUGAAAGUAUUCCUUGUGUAAUAUAUGCCAGAUUUUUUUUUUCAAAAAGGGGGAUCUCCCCGGCCUCUGCAUCAGAAUGAUGCAUACGGCCAUCUUAUUAACGAAAUAAAAGGUUCCAACAAGGUUCCAAAGUCUCCGACUGAAAAGUAAUAAAAAGACAGCUCACAUAGAGCUAAAGAGGCUGGACACACAGACUAGCCAAGAUAAGGCGCCACAACCGGCUGGCUAAAGAUAAAUAGGUAAACUAAUUGCCUAUCCUAUUACAUGACCGCCAUCCAAACCGGUUGAAGAUAUCCCGAGCUACCAUCUCCCAGCGGAUAGAUCCAGUAACCAAAUGCUCCCUGGCCUCCAUCGGAGUGAGUAGCGACCAUGAACGGAUCACGGCCGUGGCUCGGAAAAUAACCUGCAAAAAGUGAAUACGUGAUAUUAUGUUAAAAACCAAAUCAUUUCUGCAAGUCCAGAUAGUCCACAACAAAGCGCAAACUCCAACACGAAUAUGUCUCGCUAAUUCAGGCUCAAUCCCAGUGAGCCAUGUCCCAAAUAACGUAGUGACAGAAUUCGGUGGAGCAAUAUUAAAAGCAAUGUGAACCGUCCGCCAAAGAACUCUGGCAAACGGGCAAUCAAAAAAGAGAUGUUUGAUCGUCUCGUCCCGAUCACAGAAGCUACACCUCGUAGGUCCUGUCCAAUUACGCUUAAUCAAGUUAUCCUUGGUUAAAAUAACCUGUUUAUGGACAAACCACAUAAACACUUUUAUUUUCAAAGGAACUUUGACAGCCCAAACAUGCUUGGAGGUAGGAAUGGAGCUCGAACUAAUUACAUCAAUAUACAUUGAUUUAACCGUGAAUACUCCAGACGUAGUCAGUUUCCAGCGUAAUUCAUCGGGUUGUUGAGAAAGAUGGACAUCCAUUAGUCUCCGAACUAGACGGAGCCAAUCUUCCCAACGAUUGCCCACUAACGACCUUCUGAACUGAAUAUUAAGGGGGAUGGAUUGAAACACCGUAGCAACGAACACCUCACGUCGUUGAACAAUGCGAUAUAAAGACGGAUAUUGAAUGGCCAAGGGUGUCUCGCCGAGCCAAGUAUCCUCCCAGAAUCGUGUACUAGCGCCGUUGCCAAUAACAACCUUUGUCCUAUUAAACAUAGAUUGUUUGACUUUCAUCAGACCUUUCCAGAAAGGCGAGUCAGUUGGCCUGACUAUGGCCUGGGACAAGGGCUUUGUCUGUAGGUACUUGCUGCGAAGGAUUUGGGCCCACAUGGCAUUAGUCUCAAAAGAAAGCUUCCACAGCCACUUGCUAAGAAGGCAUCUGUUCUUAACUUCAAGAUUCUCAAUACCAAGACCCCCUUGGUCUUUCGGUCUACAGAUGAUAUCCCAUUUUGCAAGUCUGUAUUUUCUUUUUAGCUCAUCACCCUGCCAAAAGAAACGUGAUCGAUAAAAGUCCAGUCUUUUCCUAACACCAACUGGGACUUGAAAGAACGAUAAGAGAAACAUAGGCAUACUCGUGAGCACCGAAUUAAUCAGAAUUAAUCGGCCUCCAUAUGACAUGAGCUUGCCCUUCCAGCAACUCAGUUUCUUCUCAAACCGGUCUUCGAUGCACUUCCAUUCUCUAUUGGUCAGCUUUCGAUGGUGGAUUGGAAUACCUAGGUAAGAGAAAGGUAAAUCUCCCAAGUCGCACCCAAACAAUUGCCUAUAAGCCUCCUGUUCGUCUUUGGCUCUACCAAAGCAGAACAACUCGCUCUUAUGAAAGUUAAUCUUUAACCCGGUCAAUUGUUCGAAAAGGCAUAACACCAGCUUCAUAUUUCUCGCCUUGGCCAGGUCAUGCUCCAUAAAGAUGAUUGUAUCAUCAGCGUACUGAAGGAUGGAUACACCUCCAUCAACCAGAUGAGGUACCAAGCCACCCACUUGACCAUUCUCCUUAGCCCUUCCUAUCAAGAUGGCUAACAUAUCAACCACAAUGUUAAACAGGAUAGGGGACAUCGGAUCUCCUUGUCUUAGGCCUUUAUGUGUCUGGAAGUAAUGACCAAUAUCGUCAUUCACUCUAAUUCCCACACUCCCUUUUUGCGUAAAUGAUUCAACCUGGCGUCGCCAGGCUUCAUCAAAACCUUUCAUACGCAAUGCCUGUUGGAGAAAUGGCCAUUUGACCUUAUCGUACGCUUUCUCGAAAUCCACCUUAAAAAUGACACCAUCUAACUUCUUGGAAUGGAUUUCAUGGAGCGUUUCAUGAAGGACGACCACCCCUUCGAGGAUGUUUCUGUCCGGCAUGAAAGCAGUUUGGGAGUGCUGCACCACAGAAUGCGCAAUCCGUGUGAGCCUAUUAGUCCCGACCUUGGUGAAUAUUUUAAAACUAACAUUGAGAAGGCAGAUCGACCUGAACUGCUCAAUUCUCACAGCAUCCGUCUUCUUAGGAAGCAGUGUGAUAGUUCCAAAAUUCAAGUGAAAUAAUUGAAGCUGUCCAGAGAACAGAUCAUGAAACAUAGGUAGCAAAUCCCCCUUAAUAAUAUGCCAGCACUUCUUGUAGAACUCCACCGGAAAUCCAUCCGGUCCGGGAGCCUUAUUAUUUUUCAACUGUGCUAUAGCAUCAAACACCCCCUUUUCCGAAAACGGGGCAACCAGAAUAUCAUUUUCAGCAGCCGAAAGUUGAGGCACAUCCUCAGUUCUGGACUCAUCGAGAGAUACACAAUUAUCCUCCGGAGGUCCAAAUAACUGCCUAUAAUACUCGGUUAUAUAUGUUUUUAGGUUAUCCUGUCCUACAAUAGUGCCCUCAUCUUGUUCAAGUUGGAAUAUUCUCUUCUUUCUGUGCUUACCAUUAGCAAUCAUAUGAAAGAAUUGAGUAUUCGCGUCCCCUUGGACCACUUUGCGAACCUUAGCCCGCAAAGCCCACUUCAAUUCUUCUUCGCGGAGAAGUUCUUUCAACCUCUUCUCUGCUUCAGUUUUAACCUGGAGCUCAGCAGGCAUCAAAAUCGUGGAUUCUGCCUUAACGUCCAGAUUCUGUAUAAGAGAGAGGAGCCUGUCCUUCUCAAUCUUAUACACCCCACUAAGGUGCUUAGCCCAACCCCGUAAGAAGCUUCUCAAACUCCUAAUCUUAUUUUGCCAACGCUCAACCGCGGUCCUACCUCCAACACCCUUCGCCCAUUCCCUAGCGAUGAGGUCUAGGAACCCUUCGUGUUCGAACCAGGCCAUCUCAAAAGAAAAGGUGUUUUUGUUCCCUACGUGGUUCGGCUCCCCUGAGUCAACGAACAGGGGUGUGUGAUCGGAAAACCCCCGUGAAAGAGCUUGAACCGUCACAAGCGGGAACUUCUGUUCCCACUCCACACUCGCAAGAACGCGAUCAAGCUUUUCGUAAGUCGGGUUGGGCAAAGAGUUUGCCCAGGUAAACUUUCUACCAGAAAGCUCUAUCUCCCUCAGAUCCAAGCUUUCAAUAAUAGUAUUGAACAUGAACGACCACCUGCCGUCAAAGUUAUCAUUAUUCUUCUCUUCUCUCCUCCUAAUGAUGUUGAAAUCACCCCCUACUAAGAUGGGAAGCUGCUCGGACCCACAAAUCCGAACAAGAUCCGCCAAAAAUUCCGGUUUAAGCUCGGGCUGUGCAACACCAUAAACCGCCACCAACGCCCAGUUGAAACCAUCAACCUUAGACCUCACUCGAAACUUAACCGCGAAGUCGCCCAUCACUACACUACGGACUUCAAGCGAAUCGCAUCUCACACCCAGCAAGAUACCACCCGAUCUUCCUCGCGGAGGGAGGCAAUGCCAAUCAAAAUCAACACCACCCGCAAGAGAGGAAAGGAACUGGGGCGCAAAGUUGUCCCUACCAGUUUCCGAUAGAGCAAUAAAAUCUAAACAAUGCUCCAGAGAUGCCUCAGCAAGAAACCUUCAUUUAGCCAAGUCUUUCAGACCUCUGCUAUUCCAAAAGAUUCCUUUCAUCACUCAUCAUGAAAUUUUUUAGUAGUCCGAAUCCUAGCACUCCUACGAACUGCAGAAUCGGGGUAAAUUUUCCGUUUCCACUUACGCUUGGGUUUACUAGGUCCUGACUCCCGAUCCUCAUAACCGGGCUCAGCGGAAGAAACAACUGCAUUUUCUAUGGGCAUAUCAUCGUCCUCAGACUCAUGAUUGGAUGGUGCUAGAUCCACACACAUAUUAUCGAGCACUCUAACCCCUAAUGCAUCAAUCUCAUUAUCAUUCAUGGGUUUAACCGCAGCAAGAUUACGAAUAGUUUCUAAGGCACGCUCCGCCUCCAAAUCUAACAAAUCAUUCACCGAAUUGGAAAUCUCACUAUCUGUAGCCCCGAGUGAAACUCCUAAUUGGUUUGCAUUAUUUAUAAUUUCCUCAUUAGAAAAAUGCAGUAAAGAAUUAGAUAUGUUGACGGACAUACCAGUAGAGAUCGCAGCAUCAUGAAGCUUGGCCGCCCUCAUAGCGCACCUCUGCUGCAUGUCAUCAACCUCCGGAAGCUCCUGAAUGCGAGCACUCAUCCGCCUCCCCGUCGAGGUCGGGUCCGGGAUCCCGUCAAAAGCAACGACCUCCUCCCUAGUAACACCUCGCGCUGACACCCACGAAGGGUCAACCAAGGAUACCGGAAGAGGCGGCUGCGGGCUCCCAUACCCCUCGGACAAGUACCCCAAUCCGGGACCCAUAGCAAUGGGUACACUGGGAGGAGGCUCGGAUCUCCUGACCGCCGACGAGGAAGGAGGAGUCAGGGCCGCCUGCCCCAAACCCCCCUCCCCCAACGCCACAAAAGGCGCGGGCGCCGCCACAGCCGAAGGAGAAGCGGUCCACCUGACCGCCGACGAGGAAAGAGGAGUCAGGGCCGCCUGCCCCACACCCCCUCCCCCAACGCCACAGAAGGCGCGGGCGCCGCCACAACCGAAGGAGAUGUGGUCCUCCUGACCGCCGGCCAGGAAGGNNNNNNNNNNNNNNNNNNNNNNNNNNNNNNNNNNNNNNNNNNNNNNNNNNNNNNNNNNNNNNNNNNNNNNNNNNNNNNNNNNNNNNNNNNNNNNNNNNNNNNNNNNNNNNNNNNNNNNNNNNNNNNNNNNNNNNNNNNNNNNNNNNNNNNNNNNNNNNNNNNNNNNNNNNNNNNNNNNNNNNNNNNNNNNNNNNNNNNNNNNNNNNNNNNNNNNNNNNNNNNNNNNNNNNNNNNNNNNNNNNNNNNNNNNNNNNNNNNNNNNNNNNNNNNNNNNNNNNNNNNNNNNNNNNNNNNNNNNNNNNNNNNNNNNNNNNNNNNNNNNNNNNNNNNNNNNNNNNNNNNNNNNNNNNNNNNNNNNNNNNNNNNNNNNNNNNNNNNNNNNNNNNNNNNNNNNNNNNNNNNNNNNNNNNNNNNNNNNNNNNNNNNNNNNNNNNNNNNNNNNNNNNNNNNNNNNNNNNNNNNNNNNNNNNNNNNNNNNNNNNNNNNNNNNNNNNNNNNNNNNNNNNNNNNNNNNNNNNNNNNNNNNNNNNNNNNNNGUGGAGCAACCACCGACUCCCCGUCACCGGAACCAACCAAAGUCCUCACCGACGAUGUCCGCAGUAGGCAUCCAGCCAGUGGCCCACCAGCAUCGUCGAACGCCAACAAAGGUAGUGACUGCUCAAACGCAUCAUCAGAAUCUACCCGGUCACUCCAAAGUCUGGGAGGGGCAGAGGCUGGCUCAAAGGACCCGAACCGCAACGAAGUCAUAGGCACCGAUGGUGAAGGUUCCGGCUCAACCCCAGUUCCAUCCCCGGUCUGAACCACAGGACGAGAGCCGUUAGUCCCCUCACGAGUCGACUCGUCAGUCGGUGCCUCCUCAGCUCCCGCACUGUCGUCCCCCUCGUGCAUGUCAACAUCAUUCCCAAUCAUUGCCUCAGCAAACAGGGCAGCGUCCUCAAACUCGAUCUCAAGAGGAAACACCUCUCCUCUAUAAGUCCAGUUCACCACGUCAGGCACGAACUCAAUAUCCAAAACGCUCACUAAGAUGCGGGCCACUCCAUGUGCACGAGUAAAGGCCAUAUCCACUUUCUCCGUCUUGCCAACCAUAAUGCCCAUACUGGCCACGACACGAACAUCCUGCAAAGGCUUAGAUGGAGCCCCCGAAAACCGCAACCAGACCUGUGUAAGCGGCUUUCCUUUAGGUUCCACCUGCUGCCACUCAUGGAACUCCAGAAUGCACCUAGUGCCAGGAACUCUGCAUAAACCAAAACUCAACAGUCGCUGCAGAUCGUCCACUGAAGGAAACUCCACCUUAAAAACCUUGGCCUUGAGAGGAACGAGCUCCCAAUGGAAGUCUCCAGGUGCCAGUUCCUGAAGCCUCUGCACAAUCUGAGCCUCCGAAACCUCACCCUGAGUAGCUUUGACAACCCCGGUGGUCAAGCUCAAAGUCUCCUCCGGAGUCUCUCUCGCUGCCGGGGACUCAAAGAACAUUAGCUCAGCACAAUAAACUCCAUACAUUGUCAAAGACGGAGCCUGGUCACGCAACAACGGGCAAUCCCCCGAGGCAUGUGCCGGCUUACCACAGGACUCACACAGCUCUGCCACGCAUUCAGCAAUGAAGUGGCCCUUCUCACCACAACGGUAGCAAAGCAUCCUUUCCUUCUUGCGCGCCCACUUGGACGCCCUCUCAGCCUCAGACCUGUCGGUAACCUCAGUCACACUCCCAGUCGCCGGAACCUCAACAUUGGCUAAAGCCGCUACCACCUCCAUUGCCUGGGGAGGGAGCUCCGCGGAAGCGCAAUCGGUCUCCAGUACUGACUCCGCUUGGUCAACAACUGCCGAAGGCGGAGGCGGUCUGCGAUGAUACCUCCCGCGGCCACCGCCCCGACCACCGCGAUGUCCACGGUGACCCCCUCUCUGGCGGUGAUCCGGACCGGAAGCACCCUCAACAAAACCUCCUGGAGGCCCGAGGAACGGUCUCUCAGCAGACCCGUCACUCUGCCAGGCAUAACCACGCCCCCCUCCCGUGGAUGAGGAACCCCGGUGCUGUCCAUCGCCAUACACAUCUAACCCAUCGCCCCCCCAUUGGCCUCGGGGCGGAGCACGGGAAUCUUUAGAACUAGAAAUCUGCCGCGUCUGAGAUGGUCCCGACCGGUUUUGGGCCGGCCGCGCGACGAAGUUAGGCGGAGGCGCGCCAUGAGACUGACCUCUGCCAGUCCCGGCUGCACCAGCCACGCCCAGCGUUGGGUGCCUAGGCCCGCCUCUACCCGCUGCCUGCGGAGCGACAGGCGCCGGAGGCCUGAGCCCGCCCUUCCCUGCCGCCGGUUGCAGGGACGCCACCGGCGCUGGAGGUCUAGGCCCACCUCGGCCAGCUACCGGAUGAGCAACGGGCGCCGGCGGCCUCCCGCCCGAAGGAGCAUUACCUCGGCCCGGUCCCAGAGGAACGCCAGCCGGCUGCCUCUGCCCUGGUGGCCCGAGUACACCGCGCCCGGCCCCCGCCGCCGGAGGCGGCUCCUCCCCGCCCCGCCCAGCAGGAGCGGCCGAGGCGAUCCUCUUCGGUGGAGGCGGCGCAGCCCCUCGACCGACCAUGGGCAAGAGUGGUCGGAUUCUACGCGCCCGACGAGCACCACACGUGGGGAAACCCCGAGUCCCUCGCCUGCGAACCCUAACAGCGACAGAGAGAGACGACGGCGCACGACAGGAAGGAAACCGAUCCCUCUCGUACGUGCAUGUGAUUGCAUUGCGGGAUGGAGGCCGGUCUGGUUCAGCAUGGGCCACAUACCCAUCUGACCUAGGCCCAACUCCUCGUGGACUCGACUCCCUCCGAGCCGGCCCAACGUAGCCCAACAAGCUGUUCAAACGCCGCGCUCUCUCCUCCGCGAUCCCCAUCGCCGGCGCUGCCAAGAUCGGCGCCGCCGGUGCCUGACAACCGCCGUUCCGCCUCGCAUUCUUCCUCUUCUUAACAGUGAUCCACGACUCCGGCCGAACCAUAUCGAAAAGCAUAAGAUUCGGAAGACUCACCUUAGGUAUGGGACCCUUCCAAGGUCGAAUCGCAGAUGCCGCCGUCCUCCUAUGUACUACACGUCGAAUCAUCUCUGUCGUCUCGUCCGCGCGAAGACCGAUUCGCGCCGGAUCCUCCAAUGGCAGAACGCGAUCAAUCGUCGUAGCCACCUCAUCUUCGGUAUAACCUGAACGAAAAAAUUCGCAAAUGAGAUCUGAAGGAGUCGGUGAAGGCAGGGAGUCCACCGGAGGAUCCCCAUCGUCGUCCACGUCUUCUUCGUCCGAAUCGGCGAGCGCCCAAAACCUCCCGCCGACCCGCCGGCGGUUGCUGGACGCGGAGGUCACCGUCGCGGGCGCAGCCGCCUGGCCAGUCGCCCGGUCUCCUUUCAUUUCGCCACCGAGCCAAUAAUCCUGAGGAAAUCACAUAAUAUAUGCCAGAUGAGAUUGAAAAAAAAUCCCAGCGUCGAAUGCAAAUUAGAGCACCCAGGAGAAACAGAACCAACCAAGCUGGGGAAGAAAAAGACUGAUCUUGCACCAAAUAGUAACAUGACCAGUUACCUUGCAGCAGCCUCCUGUCCUUUCCAUGUAACGCCGCAAAAGUUUUAUCUCAUUUGCAUCAGCCUCCUCUCUUACCUAUACCCUAGACCAUAAAGGCGCGUGUUGCCGCGACGGUCCAUCAUAAGAAAAGUACAAUGAAGUAUAUAAACAUCUGGUAGAAAUCGAACAAUUACAAGUACAAUGCGAUUAUACGGGUGGUUUGACAUAUUUAUAACCCAUAACUAAUAUACUCACAUAAACUGCUUUCCUUUUUAUAUUUAUCUAGAUCACGUUGAUGAGAAAAUGCAAAAAAAGGCCGUAGGAAAACAUUACAAUAUUCUAUCCAUUAUAGGUUAGCAUCUUCUACUCUUGCACAUAACUCAACUCUACCAAAAAUGUGAUGUUAUAUCAAGGAACUCAACUCUUGUAUUGCUCACCGUAAACACAAAUUAUUUUAGUGGCUUAAUCUGUCAAUAUGAAGUGCAACAGUGGGACUCUAGGUGUCUAGAGCCAAGCGUAAGUGAUCAGUAAUAUGAAACAACAAUAGACAAUGUAUUGUUAUUAUGCACAUAACUGAUAGCCAAUCCAUGUAUUUUGUAUGAACGAUAGGAGUACAGUUGACUUUAUCAAAGAGUGAAAUAUCAAAAUAAUCUAAUUAGACCGUGUUUUCGUACCGAGCCAUAAAAUCUAAGCUCGCAUCGAUGUAUGUGCCCUCACAUUAGCUGGUUUCAGAUCCUAGCAUUGUGUAGCAGAGGAAAUCUCAUAUGUAACUGCAAUAGGAGGUCAAUUUAAACUCAGGUUAAACUGGAAGAAACACAUACGAAAUUAGUUAAUCAAAAACUUCUUGUGAAAGCAAGUGAACCUCCUCAGAUUACAAGCUGCAAUAAGUUUGGCUGGGAGAUGGAAUGCCAUCUGUUUCUGAUUUCAGAAAUAAAAGCAUUAGCUCACAAUCAGUAAAAACAUGGUAACAAAAAUGAUAUGCUUAGAAUGGAGAAUGAAUGAACAAUUAAACCUGCUUUAAGUGACAUGCCAGGCUGCCAGCUGAAUUGAAUAACCUGAAUUGUUUUGCAAGAUCAAAGAAUUUAAAACUCAACUAAUGUAACCUAAUAAUAUAACAAAUUAAGUGAAAAAACUGAAAUUUAAUGAACGACCAGGAAACUUUAGUGGACAUGUUCCAUGGAGAAAACAAAUAAACUAUGUGGAAAAUAGGAUGAUGGACAACUUUACGGGAAAUAUCAGUAUAAGGAUAAAUGCCAUGGUGAGCCUGUUGUUUAAGGCCAAAGAGAAAUUCUUAUGAUACUUACACGUGUCUAGCAAGCUCUAACGACAAAUUUUACACACUUGUAUAGCUAGAUGACUGGACUAUCUUAAACUAAUUCAUCUGGAAAAUAUGCCUGAAGAUUACAGCUAGCUAUGGCAUAAGCUUCUAGGAGGACCAGGCCUAGAAUCUAUCUACCUAUAUAUGCUGAUCAAGAGGAGUAUAUAUAUGACAUUGUAGAAGUGUAGCAACUACAAACCAACAUGUCCAAAAUAGCUAGCAAAUAUAAAAUGGUAUCAGUUCUCUGUGUACAGAAAUAUGAACAGCAAAGCCAACAAUAUAAGUUUGCAUUACAAAUAGCUAGCAAACAGAGAUUGAAAGACACUGCCAAGUGUAAUGCAUUCUAUAAUAGCCAACACAUAGACUACAUGAAUAAAUCCUACUCGAUGCAUUUAAAUGUCAAAAAAAUUGAAUGGUUGAUUGGCUCACUCGUCUAUUCAUAUAUCUUCAUAAAUAUGUAGUUUUGUUGGAUAUAUACUCAUCUAUUCAUAUAUCUUCAUAAAUAUGUAGUUUUGUUGGAUAUAUACUCGCUAUUCAUAUAUUUUCAUAAAUAUGUAGUUUUGUUGGAUAUAUACUUGUCUAUUCAUAUAUCUUCAUAAAUAUGUGGUUUUGUUGGAUAUAUACCAGAACUUGAGGUGGUCUCGAAUCCAGGACUUGAGCGCAUUUCCAAAAGCAUCUUAGUUAACUAUAUAUUAUCGUGGUCACAAAUUCAGACUGCUCAAUUUUACAUGUAUUGAGAUACGUAGAUAACAUGCUGGUAGCAUCACGUUACUGCAGGUAAAUCAUCUGAUAUACUCUAAUGGUGGGCAACUUCACAACAUGAAAUUCUCAUCUCAACUACGAACUAACUAUGUUCCGGCGUUCUGCCAAAUCCACCAAUGGCAUACCAUGUACCAGCGGUAGGGCCCAAUCAUCAACCAACGAACAGGUGAAGGACUGAAGGUGAUCCCCUAAACAAACAACAGGAGCGAAGAAAGAGGGUGAUGGUUAUCCAUACCUUAAGGCUCUCUACGACCCGGGAUGACCUCGUGCUCGAUCCCCGAGUACUCACCCUCAGUGUUCUCCGGCGGUCACUACAGUCCACCGGCAGCGCCGUGUUCUCGCCGCUUGUGGUGCAACUCCAUCACACCGGCUGGCGUGGCCAUGGACACCCCGCCCGUCGCAGCCAUGGAUCGACGCACGCCGCCAUGGUUGGGGAUGAAGAGUGAGUCUGUUGGGGCGGAUUUAGGUCAGAGCAUGGCCGGGCGGGGGGAGCAGGGGCCGUGCGGUGCGGCAGAUCGGGCCGGAGCUUGGCCGGGCGGGGAGUAACAGGGGUCGGGCGAUGG